UUAAUCUGGGAAAAAACCAAGGACAAAACUCAAUCGUUUUGGUACAGUUGGAGAAGAAGAAAGAACGUAAAAAAUCUUAUAAAUAUACCUUAACACAAAAUAAAACAAGAAACGAACUCUUACCUCUUUCUCGAUCAUUUCAGAUCUCUAUUUCUCUUUGCAGAUGGAAAAAAUAAGAAGAAACAAUUAUAAUCGACCCUUGUGAGCAAAAAACUCAUCAUAGAAAAGAAGAAACCCAUAAAGAUAAAGGUUUUUUUUAGCCCUAUGAUGCUCCAGGCCAACAAAUGGUUCUCAGUUCCAAGCAAUUGUUCAAGAAUUAACUGGUAAAAUUUUUUGAUUUUACAGUAUCAAUACCCAAUUCCCAAACUAUUUGAUAGUUCUUAUAAAACCUCUCAAUUUCCAAAUUUACAAAAUUCCGAAAUUAAUCCCAACUUCUAAAAUUCUGAUUUACAAUGUCUCCUCUUCUUCUUCUUCAUCGUUGUUCUCUAAUGGCAGCAAAACAGAAUAUUCUGCUUCUUCAGUAAAAUGGUUAUGAUUUUUGGAUAUGUUGUAAUACAUAUGUAAAAGAAAAUAAAGCAAAAAGAAUGACUUAAAAAGGACUUGGGAAGCCAAGAUAUGCAGGUUGCAAGUUGGCAUAACUGCUGAGAUUUCCAGCAGUUAUGGCCCAUGGGUUUGAGAUAAAUUGGAGACCUUACCCAAUUCUUUUGUACCUGAUCUUCUCCAAAUUUCAUCCUUAAUAUUUCAAUAUGCCACAUGUCAACAUUCAAGCAAUUUGGAUGAAGAUAUCCUAGCCUUCCAUCAGGUCAAAUUAGCAUUACCCGAUUUGGAGGAGACAGUAUUUUGAAGUUCAAAGUCCCACCAAUCUUUGCCAUAUUUGUACACUCACAUGUAAGCUGGUGAUUGAAAGGGUUAUGUAUUGGAAUUUGGAGUGGAAAAUGUGAAAUUUUUGAAUUCUAAAAUGCAACAAAUGAAUGAAAUGAAAUGAUAAAUUGUGCUGUCUAGUUUGUGUGGCC